rnacentral:lncRNA from 1 species
AAUCACUAUCAAAAAAAUUAACCAUUCAUAUAUACUUACAUAUAUGAUGCUUAUUGUCUGCCAAGCAAUUGUCUUUGAACCAAAGAUACUACAAUGGUUUAGAAAAGACAAUCUUUCUCCUUAAAGAGUUUAUAUUCUACAAAGAAGAACUCCAAAAUUAAAUGUUAACAUAAUUUUGUCAGUACAUGAUAAGUACUAUGAAUAAAACAAUAAUUGUAGUUAUUUAUUUAAAAAUUAUUUUGGAUCACCUGCUAUGUUCUGGGUACCCUCAGAUGGUGGUUCAACAGUGAAAAAAACAAUAAGAAAUGAUAGCCCUCCAGUAACUUGAAGUCUUAUGUGAGAAGGUUCACAAUGAACAAAUAAUAAAUGUUAUAUCUGGUAUUAGUGAGGGAGAAUCUUUUUAGAAGAUAGUGUUUGAACUGAGACUGUUAAAAAAAAAAAAAAGAACCUGACAAGUAAGAUUUGAGAGUAAAAGCUUCUUCCAGAUUGAUAUAAAACUAGUAAGAAAGGGCAAAGCUUUAGGACAUGAAAGAUAUUAGAAAUCUAGAGCAAAUCCAGAAAGGCUGGAUUUUACUUAAGGGGGCAUCAGUGGAGUUUUAUUUGAGGUCAGAGAGAGAGGCAAAACUAUGUUGUAUAGGAUUUUCCAUGCUCUUGUUAAAAGUUCAAUUUUAUUUUCAAGACAGUGAAGAGUCAUUGAAAAUGUAAGGUGGGGAGGAACAAUAUGACUAUGCCUUUUAAAAGCCUAUUGCUCUAGAAUAGGAAUAAAAUUAUGCUGCUUAGGGCAAAGACUAGCUCUUUAAGACUGGAAUGAGAAAGCAUUAGGAUGGUUGAUGUUAUAGAGACAGUGAUAUUCAUGGAGUACAAGAUGGAUAGAUAGAUAGAUAGAUAGAUAGAUAGAUAGAUAGAUAGAUAGUGUGUGAUCACUUUGAAAUGACUUUGAGACAUACAAAUGGUAUGUCAACUGGGCAGUUUGUAAUGACAGUCAGGAGCCUCUAGAGAGGUCUGGUUGGAAAAAUAAACUUGAAAGUUUUAGGCAUAUGAAUAGGAUUAAAGUAAUGGUAUUUGAUCAGAUUAACCAAAGAGGUGAAGACUGAAGGUAAAGGAAGUGGAUUAAUUAUUGAACCCUGAAGAAAAACUGAUAAACAGAAAGAAAUAACAUUUAGCAGAAAAGGAAGAAAUCUAGGUUAUAUUUCUCCUAAGUAGAAACUAGUAAGAAAUGUGAAGAGGAAUGUCCUGAGAAUAUUUUAUAACUUUCUAUUUUUUAAAAAGUGUUUUCAGCCUUAAUAUAAAUACAGUUUUAAAUAGACUUCUAGUUAAGGCUAAUUUAUGUCUUAAUUAUCUGAAUAUUCAGAUGUAGAGAGGUCAUUAGGAUUCUCAAUUCAAUAGCUUGAUGAAGUCACCAACAAUCUAGAUUAUUUUCAUCUCUGUUAUCACCAACAAUGGCUCUGUCUUUUGAGUAGUCAGAAGAUGGCUUGUAGGACAAUGAUUGUACUAGUUCUGCCUAUGAUAUCCAGAUUCAAAAAUAUGGGCAAAAUAAUACAUUUUUUUCCUGUGGUUUCUACUUUGGAGCAAAGAAAUCUUACCAAAUUUCACUUGAUCUAUUUCACUAUGCAUUUAAUAAGACAAUUAAAUAACGUAAACAUGUUUGAACCAGUCAUUGUCAAUAGGUAAAACAACACACCAAGAGCAGACAAGGUCCUAUGUGAGUUGAGACUACAGUCGGCCACCCUAAACAUAUUCCGUGUGGUGUAGGAAAGCAUUCCUUAAAAAAGAACAACAAAAACCCCCCAAAGUUCUGACAGAAAAUAAGAAUGUGGGAAAAGAUGCUAGGCAACCUAUGGCAUUCAUACAAAUCAUUUGUCCACUGGUGUUUGAAGGCACUGAUGUUAAUAAGGGCACAGCCAAAAGAACAUUUCUCAGAGAGUUUUAAUUUGUCAGCAUGUUAUUAGUAUUCCCCAGAUAAAAAGCAUACACCAGCAGGUAUGUUCUUCUAGUUCAUGCGGAUACAUAAAGUUAUCACAAUAUAAUGACAAGAAACAUUAAUGUGAUUCACCCAAUUCCAUCUGUUCUACUUGAAUUUAAGCUCAUUGAGCAAUCAUCUGACUGUAAUGUGGCUUUUUGAGUACAGUAGUCCUUUGUUAUCCAUGAGGAGCCCCGCAAAUACCAAAAUUCAAAAAUGCCAAAAUCAAAAUCCGAGGAUACUCAAGUCUCUUAUAUAAAAUGGCAUAGUAUUUGUAUAUAACCUACGCACAUGCUUCCAUACCCUUUAAAUUAUCUCAGAUUAUUUAUAUCUCAACAUAAAUGCUAUGUAAACAGGUGUAAACACAAUGCAAAAGUUAUGUAAUAUUUGUUGCAGUGCAGUAAAUUCAGUUUUUUUUUUAAUUUUCUGAAGUUUGUUUCAAAUAUUUUUGGUACACACUUGCUUGAAUCCAUAGAUGUAGAACCCAUGGAUACGAAGGUCUGAUGUACCUCUAUAGGAAGAAAACAUUCUCUCCAGAAGAAUAUAUAACUCUUAUAGUAUCUUCUGCCUUUUAGUUUUACUUAUGAGUUUGGUUAACAUGUAUUAGUUCUCCUUUGAUAGUUCCCACUGCAGCACAAUGGGAUCAGCAGCAUCUCUGCAGUGCUAGGA